AGUGACAAAGUUCAACGGCCGCGGUACCCUAACCGUGCGAAGGUAGCAUAAUCACUUGUUCUUUAAAUAAGGACUUGUAUCAACGGCACCACGAGGGUUAAACUGUCUCCUUUUUCAUAUCAGUGAAACUAAUCUCCCCGUGAAGAAGCGGGGAUAAUUUUAUAAGACGAGAAGACCCCAUGGAGCUUUAAACCCAUCUACACUCCGCUUAACUCUACCUUUAAACCUCUCGGAUCCUGUAUGUUCUGGUUUUAGGUUGGGGUGACCGCGGAGCAUAAACUAACCUCCACAAUGAAUAGAUUUCUUCUUUAUCUAAGAUUAACACCUCUAAGAAUUAGUAUUCUAACAUAAAAUGAUCCGAUAUUCGAUCAACGAACCAAGUUACCCUGGGGAUAACAGCGCAAUCUACUUCAAGAGCUCCUAUCGACAAGUAGGUUUACGACCUCGAUGUUGGAUCAGGGUAUCCCAGUGGUGCAGCAGCUACUAAAGGUUCGUUUGUUCAACGAUUAAAACCCUACGUGAUCU
rnacentral:rRNA from 1 species